rnacentral:lncRNA from 1 species
UUCCGAUUCAGUAUUUUUCGGUCGGGCCCUAGGAAUCUGUGCUUUUAACACGACCCCCAACGCCCUCCUGAGCAAUAGGAGGAGCCCGGGCAAUUUGGGCAACAGUAGACUAGUCAAAUUUGUAUUAUGCCAAAAAGAGAAAGGUACUUUCUCUCCCUUCAGAUUGUAUUCUUUUUUUUUAAGAUUUUAUUUAUUAAUCAUGAAAGACACACAGAGAGAGGCAGAGACACAGGCAAAGGGAGAAGCAGGCUCCAUGCCGGGAGCCCGAGGAGGGACUCGAUCCCGAGACCCUAGGAUCACGCCCUGGGCCGGAGGCAGACGCUCAACCGCUGAGGCACCCAGGCGUCCCUCUCCCUUCAUAUUUUUUUAAAAAAAUUUUUUUUAAGAUUUAUUCAUGAGAGACACAGGCAGAGGAAGAAGCAGGCUCCAUGCAGGGAGCCCGACGUGGGACUUAAUCUGGGGUCUCCAGGAUCGCGCCCUGGGCAGACGGCGGCGCUAAACCGCUGCGCCACCCCGGGGUCCCCUCCCUUCAGGUUUUUAUAGCAGUGCACACUUCUUUUAGGAAAUUGGAAAAUGACAACAUUGUGACAAGAAGACAAAAGUUUCCGUGAAUUCUUUUCCUGCGUGUGUGGGUUUCCUCCCAGAUGAUAGACACUGCCAAUAAUAGUGGUGAUAAUAAUAAUAUCAAGUAAAUGGGAUAUGUCAGGCACGAUGCUAAACACUUUACACUUGGCAAGAAACUGAAAAGCAGGUAAUGUCACUGCUGUUUUACAGAUGCAGAAAUGGAGACCAUAUAUCGCCUGAUCACAUAGCUAGAGGCUGAAGAGGAGGCUUUGAACCCAGGUUUUCUGAAUCCAAAUUUUGCAGCGUUUAACCCAAGCUAUGUUACUCCUGAGAUCUUGUGGGCAUCACACAUCAGGAGAGCUCUACAGUCAUCCUUCAAAGUUUGAAAGAACUCCUGGGUCUCCGUUACCAGUGCACACCACUCUCCCAAAGCCACCCUUUCUCCAGGACUCUGCACUCUGCACAGUCCGACUGGCGGGGUCGCCAAAGGAUCACAAGGUCAGUGACCUGCGGGAACGAAGGGAUCUCGGCAUCGUUGAUGGACACCAAAGUUCUGCUCUGGGGUUCUGGUGGAACCAGGAAAGCCUUUCUUUCAGUGUGCAUCCUGGCAGCAGGAAAAAUGAAACCCCAUUUUCAACACUGCCCUUUCCCAGUCAGUUUGUGAGGUGGUACUAAUUUAAACUUCAUUCUGGAAAUGUGUAAGAGAUCAUUAUGUUCUUGUUGUUUUACUCUGUAAUGAUGUCAGCAGAUGAGAGAGUUGUCUGGCUUCUGAGAGUAGCGGGGCAAGGCUCCUGGCAGGGCUGGGGUAGGUUUAUCCAGACCAAUGCAGGCUGCAGGAAAAAGCCUGAAGUAUUCCAAGCAGGUGGACUGAUUGAGGAGUGGGAGAGUUUGCAGAAAAACCUGGAAGACAAAUAAAGCCAGAGCAACUCUUUAGCUUCUCACAGAAGAGCUCAAAAGAGUACCAGCAGAAUGGAGUGUAGACGAGAGGCUGCCUGAAGACUAUGGGGCAGAAACAGAGCCACCUCUAUCAGCCUGACUCUGGGAAGGGCGGGAGCCUCAUCUCUGAUGUUAGCUCCCACAUUGAAAAAGCAAUAGAAGGAAUUCGAAC